UAAGACGAAGGUGGCAAGCGUUGUUCGGUGUUACUGGGCUUAAAGCGUGUGUAGGCGGAAAGGUAAGCGUCCUGUGAAAUCCCCCGGCUUAACCGGGGAAUUGCUGGACGAACUGCCUUUCUUGAGGCAAGUAGGGGUGCAUGGAACUCUUGGUGGAGCGGUGGAAUGCGUAGAUAUCAAGAGGAACGCCGGCGGUGAAAACGGUGCACUGGGCUUGUCCUGACGCUGAGACACGAAAGCGUGGGUAGCGAACGGGAUUAGAUACCCCGGUAGUCCACGCCGUAAACGAUGCCUACUAGGUUGUGAAAGUUCUGACACUGGCACAGCCGAAGCAAAAGUGAUAAGUAGGCCGCCUGGGGAGUACGGUCGCAAGGCUA
rnacentral:rRNA from 1 species